rnacentral:lncRNA from 1 species
GCAUCUUGGGGCCCAGCUGUUGGUGCUGUGAGCACUUCGAGGAGUCCUGGGAGGAAACGUGGGACUGGAUUGUGACUUCCACAGAGUGUUGCCACCCACCUCAAACUCCCAAUGCAAUGUCUUGAUCUGGGAGAAGUGUUGACAUUUUUUAGGGAGUUACAGUCCAAGCAAGAUCAUGGAGAAGAGGUUUGGACUUCCAGCAAAACGUUGCUAAAGCCGCCAAGAUGUAAUACCUGCCACCUCUCAGGAAAACAUGGAUUGUUUCAAAUGGAUUAUCGUAUUCCACCCAGCCUCUGAUGAAUGAAAUCGAGUGGUGUAUCAAUCAGUUCCCCUGGAUUGUAAUUUGAUAAUCUGUUCCAUGGAAUGCUCUUUCACAGCUAGCUUGGACCUGGGAGUCCCCCAGUGCAAGGACAGCUUGAGUUGGUUUGUUCUUCUUUUGAGUGUUUGAGUUUGAUUUUGUUGGAUGGACUCUGAGGGAACCCCCAGUCCUUUUCUAAUCGUUCUGUGCCUGCAUCGAGCCAGUGAUCUCACUGCAAUGACACAGAUCCCAGGAGAAAGGCACCACGUAACUGG